CCUACGGGUGGCAGCAGUGGGGAAUAUUGGACAAUGGGGGAAACCCUGAUCCAGCGACGCCGCGUGAGGGAAGAAGUAUUUCGGUACGUAAAGCUCUAUCAGCAGGAAAGAAAAUGCCGGUACCUGACUAAGAAGCCCCGGCUAACUACGUGCCAGCAGCCGCGGUAAUACGUAGGGGGCCAGCGUUAUCCGGAUUAACUGGGUGUAAAGGGGGCGUAGACGGCUUCGCAAGUCUGGAGGGAAAUGCCGGUGCCCAACCCCGGAACUGCUGUGGAAACUGUGAAGCUGGAGUGCAGGAGCGGUAAGCGGAAUGUCUGGUGUAGCGGUGAAAUGCGUAGAGAUCA
rnacentral:rRNA from 1 species